UUUGGCUCUGUGGAUUGUAGCAUGAUUAUCCUUUACUUUAUGGCUAAUAUCCACCUAUAACAAAUGGAAAACACAACUGGACACAAUGCAGAGAUUGUGGUGCGCCCAGCCCAGAUGGACACAUCUAUAUCAUAGCUCCUGCAUCUAUGGCUCAGGGAACAUGGCGGAAGAGGGGGCAGAAAGGUGGUAUGAGCUAGACCACCAGGAAGUCUGUUGUGAAACAGUCUCUUCUAGAAAUGGCUGCAAAAAAACCAGAAGAUGGCAGUAUCGAUGGACCCACUAACAUGGAAGGGGACAAUAUCACUGGGUCCUAGCCAGUGAUACAUAGGCAACUAUAGGCAACUAAUGACUUCUGAGAGAUGGAAAAUUAGCCUCUCCCAGGGCUGAGCCCCCUCAUUGUUAUCCAGUACCGAGUAGUCAGUCUUAAAACCACAUGCACCGACAACGAAAAUGGACUCCUCA